ensembl:lincRNA
CCCCUGAUGAAAUUUCGGUUUCAAUGGUCAACAUUAGGUCUGUACGAUCGAUGGUGAUGAUGAAGGAGUAAACCGAUGGAUUAAGGGUGUGAUGUUAAACGUGUCAUGGGUUAAAGUUCCGCCGAGUCGUCGAUGCGCCCAACUUUCCUCGCACAUCCUGGUGAAAGAGGUCCGUUUAUACACCGCGUCACCAUGACGUCACGGUACGUUUCGCAACAGUUCUCGCGAGAUCUGAAAGAGCUGCGGCCCACACAAGGGCGCGGGUUUUGCGUUCUCCUAAUCUCGAUAAUAAAGCCAACCGGUUAUCCUCUUUUCACAAUACUCUUCUUUCCUUUCUUUUUCCCCCCUUCGUUCUUCGUUUUUCCGCUACAUUUCUGGAUCUCGGGUCGCACCCCCCGUUGGCAGAGUGGCCGUUUUUUGAGUUAUGGGGGCUCGGGAGAGGGUUGAAAAGUCUUUGCUGCAAGUGGAGCGUUCACAGCAUUUUCUUUCUCGAAAAGGUGAAGGAACAGACGUGGGAGUGCUUGCUCAACUUGUUCCAGACGUGUGCCACUCUUUCAACUUCCUGUUUCCUUGUUUCCAUAUCUCAUGAUUUGUUUGCACAUUUGGUGGCCUAUUUAUCUAUUGUACCAUGUUCGACCAGUUUCUCAUUGAUAUUUAUUUCAUUUUUUUGACAGGCUUUCAAAUGUGAGCUGUCCAAGUUUUGGAACAAUGAUACAAGCUCUGGAGCAAACUGGCUUGCUCUCCAUGAAUCCUUCCCUUUUUUACUUUUCUUAUAGUUAUAAAAGAGCGAGUGUCCAGUGUCCCAUGUGCAACUUUUUGUUUUUUGAGUAGUAUUUAUUUAUUUAUUUAUUUAUUUAUUUUUUGCAGAUAUUUUGGCAACCUGGAAUGAUAUUCUCAAAGCCAAAUUCAUACCGUGUCACGUUGAGAAGCUUUUACAAGAGCAGAGGCCGGUCGACGUUGAACCUCGGCAGGAGGUGCAAAGCGGUGCACACAUGCUUCGCACUCGAGAGGAUGGAUCCAGCAGGAGCCCUGAUAUUCUAUACUCGAGAACAAGCAAGGAACAGGAGAAGUCUUUAGACCUCAGACAGAGACCCAAUGGCAUAUCAAAGCAUCAUACGGUUGCCAGGUGCCAAGACAUUUGGAGUGACAUGGAUGCAACUCAGCUCAAGGCAUUCCAGCUGAUGUCAGAACAGGAUAGGUUGAAAAGUGUGAGACAUAGAAGGCAUGCGAAGACCUAUACCUGUAAAGAUGCUGCUUCUCCUGAAACGGGAGAAGCACAAGUUCAGUACCUGAAUGAGGAGAUGGGGUUGCACCCAACUGGACAUGCUGAAGUGGCUUGCAAUGGUUUUGUGUCAACCAUUUGCUGUGGACUUGGAAAAUGUGCACAAACUCUUGCUGUUGGGAAGGAAGGGAAAUGCAGUAUGCACCAUCUAGAAAUAGGGAGUGGCCAUGACAGCCAAAUUAAUAUGACCCCUCAGCUUCGCUCUGACCAUCCUGCUGCAGCAGAGGCUUUUCGAUUAUUGACCUGUAAUGGGUCACCUCAACAUAAAGUUGGCAGUAGUGAUGAAUCAUCUCCCCUUCAUGUGCAGGACACGUGUCAGGAUAAAAGGCCAUCCCGACUCAGCAAAUCACAUGCCAGCCAGUCUCGAGGCCAUCUUUGGAACCAAGAUAGUUUUGCGUGCCAGAGAGAUAUUGCUCCCAUUCAUAAGGCACUUCAGCCGAAAAUGAAGGGCCAAGUUGUGGUUGACCCUUCUUUUUGUGGCAGCUGGUAUCAUGAACAGGGUAAUAGGUCAAGUAUACACCAAAAGAAAAUGGAAACGACUCCAGAUCUGAAUUGCAAAGGUGUCGGAGUGAAGUCACCUGUUCCGGGUGUGAGUCGUCUGAGCGAGUGUUGUGCUGACGCAGUGUAUGAAGUUUCUUCCAUGGAUUAUUGUGGACUACCAACUCAUUUGCUUAAUAUUCUGGAUGAUCUUCAACUUGAACCUUCUACGAAUGGGUCUUGCAGCCCACUGUCAUCAAAGAGUCAGACGAAACCUGCAUUCCUGUGUUCAAAAGAAUUGGAGAUGGAGAUUCCUUACCACCAGCAAUGUGCACAGAGAGCGACUGACAAGGACUCUGUACGGCAACUACUGCACAGUUGUCCUGAAUCAAUGUUUGUGGAAGCUCCUGGGACAUUGAAUGGGCACCUUCCAGGAAGUGCAUUUGUUCACUCUCACUCGCAGCAUGGCAUUCAGCUUCGUCAGAACGACACAGGGACACCUCAGAGAGAUGUAUCCCACACCUCAUUGUCACAAAUUUCUGAUUCUAAAUCUAAACUUGGGGCUCAAGGUGCUGGAUCUGCAAGGAGACCAUCAAGAAAUUGUUGUGGAGGUGAAGAGGACAGGAUAGAAACGGUGCGAGCAACGGCCACUGAACUGACGAGGAGAUUACAAGUCGAGGCUAAUAAUUUGAAGAAAGCUCGUGCAACCAUGGAAAGAUUUGUCAAGUCGGAUGGAAAAGUGAAAGAAGAUGAAAUUGUAGAUGCUUGUGAGGAUGAAAAUUACAAAGGCAGGCUCCGGAAGGGCCCACAGUCUCAAUGUUCAAAGGGGCUGAUGACUAUUUGUCAAGAGAAUAGCAAAAAGCACUGCCGUAAACAAGAAAUGGAUUCUGAAAGAGACUCUUGUGGUCCAGGGAAUGAGGGUCGAAAGAGAGAAUGCUACAGACAUGCAAGGGAUGGUGUGGAGCGGUCAGUGGAGCGCCUGCGUGCACAGAAGUGGAAACCAAAUUUUCACGAUUUCUCCUCGUCGUUGGACUGUUCUGACGAGUCAUCCAUUUCACUUCCAGUCAGCCACACAGCAUCCCCAUGCACCGAAAGCAACCGCAGCAUUGAAUUUGAAGAAGGUUCUGUCCUCUUUCAUUCCCAGAAGCCUUGUUGCUCUGCAAGAUGUUCACCAUGCUCCUCAAAAUCUCACCAGCUUUUCAGGAACCACACCCAGCACAGGUACACACACUGUAGACCUCUGUUAAUAUGUUCGUUUUUGUGUCUGCAAUUGCCAUUGUAUUUUCUGUAUUCUUGAACUGAGAUUUUUGCCUUAAAAGGGUGAACCUUUAGGGAAGGAGAAAUUGGUGCCAUAACUCAACCAAAAAGGCUAAAGUUAAAACUUCAUUACAAAAUUUAAAAAAGUUUACAAUCCGAGCGUUAAGGAAGUAUUUUGUCUGCCCAUUUUGAAAAAUAUGUUGUGUCCUUUUUGCCUAUUAUUCUGAUUGCCAUUUUAUCUUUUGCCGUACUUUUCAUGCAUAGCGUGUCGAAAGCUUGUUGAUAAAAGUACAGUAUGUUCUUUCUCAUUGGGUUGUGAUUAAUCCUGUGCCAGCAGCCACUUUUGUGUUGUGCUAAGUGCACUUCAUCGCUCCUUGGCCUGGUUUGUAAAGUUGCUGCAAAAUGCAACGAAAAGUGAAGGUAAUCUCUGUCACAACUUGAAGCAAAAACAGCUGCUCGAUGUCUGUCUGGUGAUGAAACGACACUUCGUUGAGUCGUGCACGAUUUGCUUUUGUUGUUUUCUUUUCUCAAUUUCAGUAACAAGACAACACAAUUUGGUUCUUAAAUCUGCAGGCUGAAGUCUAAGCAAAGCUCUACCUCAUGAUUUAAACCACCUGAGUCAAAUUUAUGGCCAGAUUGAGUGAUUUAGCCAAAUGUUUCUUUUGAUUGCAAUUUUCAGUCUUCAAAGUUGCUUGAUCUCGGUUUUCUUUUGUGGGCAGAUAUUUCUGUGUAGUUAAAAACUUGGCCAAUCGAUCACUGCACUGCUUGCUCAGAAAGAAAUUUAUUCACAAUCUCACUUCAACUUUUGAUGCAUUUCCUCCAGUUGAGUGAGAGAGAGAAAGGUUGGAAGCAAGGUGUGUUGCAGAUUGGACUCUUGAGCUAUAGCAGCUACUUGUAUGCAGGAGUACCACAUUUCCUGCCAGUAAACUUAUCCACUUAUUCCGAGGAAAGGAAGGGCAUCCCAUGAUGCUCCCAAUGGUUAGUCGACCUGCCUAAUUGUUUUGUACGCAUUUUUACUCUUGGACAAUGGUACCUCAAUCGGUGAAAAUGAUAUGUCAAAAAUAUUGUUGCAUAAUCUUCUUCCUGCUCUUCCACCAUUAUCCCACCUUUGUUGUGGGGUUGGCUGGGGGAAGCUUUGCCCAAGUCUUCACAAACCUGACGUUCUACUAGUUAGGGCAGGAAUUUGGGAAUUGGGAAUUGGGCUGGUGAUAGCUCGCCUACUUUUCGUGAAGGACACCAUGGGAUCUUUAAUGUCCACCAACAAAUGCUGGCAGACAGGAUGCCUGUUUAACGUCCAUCCGGGGGACGGCGCACACAUUGAUGAAUCACCCUGCCUGUGACACAUCAGGCUGACAGUUUAUAGCCUGGCUGGUAAUCGGACCCAGGCAAGACAAGCCUAGAGGCGAGUGUGUGUACCUCUCGGCCAUCCUGCCAGCCCUGUAGCACAAUAUAUAUAUAUUUUAUUUAUUUUUAUUUUAUGCCUCCCUUUUCAAAGACGCCGAAGGUAUUAUAUUUUCGGUUUGUCCGUCUCUCCAUGAUGAUACUGUUGCUAACGACAACUUGUAAAGCGCUGAAGGGUUGUUUUUUUGUUUGUUUUUUCAAACUUGGCAUAACUGAAAUGGACUGUAACACGAAGAUGAACUUAUUAUGUUUUGUGUUGAAAAGGUCAAAGGCCUAUGAUUAGGUAUCCUUGAAUGAAAAAUCUGUGUUACUGUUGCUGAAAUAACUUAUGAACCAUUCAAGAUUUCAACAAAACUUGAUGCAUGACUGGACAGCAAUACAAAGAUGAACGAGUUAAAUUUUAGUGAACAGGUCAAAGGCCAUUUUCCCUUUGAAAAUAAUUUUGCAGACAUAACUCGACUUCAAAGCAUCUGACAUUGUCUCUCUUCUUCCCCCGUCCCCCCCCCUUUUCCCCUCUAUCUUUCCCACCCCCCCUCUCUCAUGUGACCUUUAAUUGAGAUCAAAUGUAACAGUGGGUUUACAUCUACCAUGAGCAGAAGCAUAUCCAUUGUUGUAUUUCAUCAAAUUCUAUUUUCGAGUUGUGAAAUAAUUUGCCCAAAUGUUGUUUUACUCGUAAUGAAAAAUCAUUGGACAUACGUAUUUGGGAGAGGGAGUUGGAGGGGAAAGCAUGAGCAGAAGCAUAUCCAUUGUUGUAUUUCAUCAAAUUCUAUUUUCGAGUUGUGAAAUAAUUUGCCCAAAUGUAGUUUUACUCGUAAUGAAAAAUCAUUGGACAUACGUAUUUGGGAGAGGGAGUUGGAGGGGAAAGGCAGGUCUCAGUCAGAAAAACUUUGUGCAAUUGAUGGAAUUGAACAACUGCUUUGUUUUGCACUUUGCCAAAAAUCGUUAUCUUAUCUUUUGAUAACCUUUCCCGAGCAAUGCUAUUUGUUGUCACAAGCUGGCAAAAAAAUCUUUGCCAAACUUGUGACCUGAGCAGUGGCACGAAAAUUGUGAUUCGACCUGUAGGAAAAUUCCCCAGUGAGAAAUUACAAAUCCAUGAAAUAUGUUGUCAUUAAUUGAUUAAUGAGCUCGGACCUGUAAUUCCUGGUAUAUUCUGCCCCGUCCCCCCUUCCACUCACCAAAUCCCCCAACCAUCCACACCAACCCCUCUCACUAAUUGAUGUACGAGCAUUGGAUUUCAGCAUUAUUCUUCGUAUUGUAUUUAGUAUUGAAAUGCUGGUAGGACAGAUGAGAGGGAGGUCACUUGCCUUUCAGCUGUCCUGUUUGGGUUUGAUUCCCAACCUGACUAUAUUCUGUCAUUGAUGUUUCACACGCAGGCCAUUGCAUUAAUAGGUGUGCACUCAGUCAGACAAGACGCUAUACUUGGAGUCUGCCUGCCAGCAUUAACUUUCUGCUUGUAGACGUUAAAGAUUCCACUCUCAGAUGGUUUAAAUCACGAGGCAGAGCUGUGCUUAAACUUCAUCAUGCAGAGUUAAGAACCAAAUUGUGUCUUGUUUCUGAAAAUUGAGAGAGAAAAAUACAACAAACGCAAAUCAUGCACGACUCAACAAAUGUUGUUUCGUCACCACACAGACAUCGAGCAGCUGUUUUUGCUUCAAGGUGCGCUGGAGGUUACCUGUAAAUCCAAAAUUCCAGUCGACUGCAAUUAUUACCUCAGGUAAGGUGACACAAACCACCCAACGUGUACAUUGAUUUUCGUUGUUGGUUCAUAUGCACAUUGGACUGGAAAUCAUUUGCGAGUUAGACCCGCAGAUGUUGACCAUUUUCUAAGGCCUGCAGUUGUGCCGUUGAUGCAUUUCCCCCUUGGCGUUGGGGCAAGAAUUUUUAAUUUGUACAGGAUUCGAGUGAAAACUUGCCUAACAUUUGCGAAAAACACGUGGGUUAUCAUCACCAGUUAAUGUCGGCAGAUGGGUCGCAAGCUUCGCGUCCAUUCGAGUGUUGGAAUACUUGGUGAUGCAAUGCCCCGCUUGUGGAGCAUCAUUGAGAUUGUGUGUAGUCAGGCCAACAGUGAAACCUUGGACUAAACAGCUCAAAGGCAAGUGUGCUACCUCUGCACCUGCACCGUGCUGUCAGACAGACUGCUUCAUAGCACUUUGGACAGACCAAUGAAAGUAGUGAGAGGCAGUUGUCUCGUUGCAACAAAUUUAUCCAUUCUGGGACUACGGUCUUUUGAUGAUUUGUUCUCAUGGGGACAUUCCACUUCACCCCCAAAAAGUGGCUGAGUAUUCUUGUCAGUUCGAGUGUGAUGAACCAAAGCGACAUCACUUACGACAGAACGAAACCGUCACUUGACCUUUCCCGGCACAGAUGUCACAGCUGCUGUCCAGACAAUUCCAUGGGAGUGCUUACAAACUACUGUGGAUGACUUGGAUGGAGGAGUACCUCAACUGAUAAAUGGCGGUCAUAUGGAGUUGUUUUAAAUGCAAACAAGUUGACAACAUCCGAUAGCAUUAACAAUUGGGUCCAAGUCUGAGCUAUAAACCAUCCAUUUUGCACCAAAAAUAAUGGGACGUGCAAAUAUUUGUAUCUUUUUCUCCAAACUUUUGUUUUAAAACAUUUUAUUUUCAUCAAUUGUCGAUUUUAAAAUAUUUUGGAAGCCUUUUGAUAUUAGGCAGUACUCUGUGCAAUAAGACAAAAUGGUUGUGUAUGUCACAAGUGAGUGUGGCAUGCUGUAUGUAUACAAUGAUGGCACCCAGAGCAUUGGCCAUCUUAGGAAUGUUGUUUAUGUUGAUAAAGAAAAUUGUUUCAAUACCUUAAUUUUUUUUGUAGUUGCAUCAGUUGGAGCACACAGGCCUUAUUCAGAGGCAUUUUUACGUGAAGGGUGAACACACCUUCGGUCAACAUUCCUUCAGAAUUUGUCAUUGAUGGCCUGCUGUAUUUAUUUACUAACAAAUACCACCCAUCGCUUCGCUGAUGGAAAUACAAGAG